AGGAAUUGACGGGGGCCCGCACAAGCAGUGGAGUAUGUGGUUUAAUUCGAAGCAACGCGAAGAACCUUACCAGGUCUUGACAUCCGAUGCAUAGCACAGAGAUGUGUGAAAUCCUUCGGGACAUCGAGACAGGUGGUGCAUGGUUGUCGUCAGCUCGUGUCGUGAGAUGUUGGGUUAAGUCCCGCAACGAGCGCAACCCUUAUUGCCAGUUACUACGUUAAGAGGACUCUGGCGAGACUGCCGUUGACAAAACGGAGGAAGGUGGGGAUGACGUCAAAUCAUCAUGCCCUUUAUGACCUGGGCUACACACGUACUACAAUGGCGUUAAACAAAGAGAAGCAAGACCGCGAGGUGGAGCAAAACUCAAAAACAACGUCUCAGUUCAGAUUGCAGGCUGCAACUCGCCUGCAUGAAGUCGGAAUUGCUAGUAAUCGCGGAUCAGCAUGCCGCGGUGAAUACGUUCCCGGGCCUUGUACACACCGCCCGUCACACCAUGAGAGCCGGGGGGACCCGAAGUCGAUAGUCUAACCGCAAGGAGGACGUCGCCGAAGGUAAAACUG
rnacentral:rRNA from 1 species